rnacentral:RNase_P_RNA from 1 species
GAAGCCAAUCAGAUGAUCGCGGAGGUAAGGACCGAAAGGUCGCCUCUGAGGAAAGUCCGAGCUCCACAGGGCGAGGUGCUGGGUAACACCCAGUGGGGGGAACCCCAAGGAUAGUGCAACAGAGAGAUACCGCCUGGUCCUCAGCGUGCUGAAGACUAGGUAAGGGUGGAAAGGCGAGGUAAGAGCUCACCGGCAGCCAGGUGACUGGCUGGCCAUGUAAACCCCACCUGGAGCAAGACUGAAUAGGGGAACUAUGAACGGCCCGUUUUUGUUCCCGGGUAAGGUCGCUAGAGGCCGUCGGUAACGGCGGUUCGAGAUAGAUGAUCAUCACCUCCAUACGGAGGGACAGAACUCGGCUUAUAGAUUGACUUCGCAU